AGUGAACUAGUACCGUGAGGGAAAGGCGAAAAGAACCCCGGUGAGGGGAGUGAAAUAGACCCUGAAACCGCGUACGUACAAGCAGUCGGAGCUCUCUUCGGAGGGUGACGGCGUACCUUUUGUAUAAUGGGUCAUCGACUUGGUCUAUCUAGCAAGCUUAAGCCGGUAGGUGUAGGCGCAGCGAAAGCGAGUCUGAAUAGGGCGAAUGAGUUA
rnacentral:rRNA from 18 species